CCGACGGCCAGGCAGAAUCCACCCCCGCCGGGCGCUAUGGUUUCCAAGCCGCGCUCCACGCCCAAGUCCCGCCCUAGCCCUCAGCUGGCGCUGCCUUUCUCCUCAUGGCCGGUGUUGGCCAGCCUGCCCGCCAUUAACAGCCGGAUGGGCCUGAGAGUCGACGCUUCCAGUGCCUGGGCGCGUCCUUGUCCUCGCCUCACCACGGUGGCCCAAACGGAGUGGCUCUGAAGGACUCUGCGCCGUGUUUUCCCGCUCUCUGUGUGCUUAAAGAGAGCGAACGGGCGGAGAGAACGGCGAAUCUGCAGAACCCCGCGGGGCCGCAUAUUCCUUCAAGAGUCCGAGGAAGGCGACUCGAGGGACGGGAGCAGGGCUGGCUGUGGCGUGGUCGCUGCCGUCGCGCCCUCGGCCGGAUCGUGUGACUCCUGAGACCCGGGACCCGUUGGUGUUGAGGAGACCAAGCCUGGCAGGAGGCUGGAGCAGGCACAGGCAAAGCGCACGUUAGAAUGGGAAGAACCCCUGAGGCCUAGUUAUAAGAAAGCAAAUGCCUUGACCUAAGGGUUGGCCCACUCAUGCCACAGAGGCAGCAGCUAGCCUUCAUCAAGAAGGGGUAAGGACAAACCACAGGAACCCCACUGGACCACAUUUUAAGCAUCUGGUUUGCACAAAGGCCGCAUUCCUGUCUCUGCCUUUUCACCGCUGCCAUUUGGUUGCACGUUGAAUACUCCAUAAUAACAUACAAGAAGCUUCUGAAAAGACUCAUUGGUGAAGAAUACCUCCUGGAUUCAUUUAUCGCCCUUGCAACAUGUCCUGUCUGCGUCUACCCUCUUGGCACCUUCUGAGGACGCAGCUGUGAACGGCACAGAAGCAUUUCUGCCCUAUGGAAUUCUCAGCCUCAGGGCUUUCAGUAGUAAGAUGCUGAAUCAGUUUAUUUAUAAACAGAGAACUGGGCAAAUAAAUCAACUGUACAGAUAAGUUGUACAAACCAAGGCUCUGACAUGA